GACGAACGCUGGCGGCGUGCUUAACACAUGCCAGUCGUACGGUAAGGCCCUUUCGGGGGUACACGAGUGGCGAACGGGUGGGUAACACGUGCGUAACCUGCCCACAACUUUGGGAUAACGCUAGGAAACUGGUGCUAAUACUGGAUAUGUGCUCCUGCUGCAUGGUGGGGGUUGGAAAGCUCCGGCGGUUGUGGAUGGACUCGCGGCCUAUCAGCGUGUUGGUGGGGUAGUGGCCUACCAAGGCGGCGACGGGUAGCCGGCCUGAGGGGGUGACCGGCCACAUUGGGACUGGGAUACGGCCCAGACUCCUACGGGGGGCAGCAGGGGGGAAUAUUGCACAAUGGGCGCAAGCCUGAUGCAGCAACGCCGCGGGCGGGAGGACGGCCUUCGGGUUGGAAACCGCUUUCAGCAGGGACGAAGCUUUUUGUGACGGUACCUGCAGAAGAAGCACCGGCUAACUACGUG
rnacentral:rRNA from 1 species